CCACAUAGAACUCCACGUCACAAAAUCUUCUCUUGACGUUGCGAUAAGUGUCGCAGACAUAAAACUCAGGGUUUCAUUAAUUCUGGUGUAGGCUUCGAUUUUCAUUCGGUGUAAUCGCGUGUUUGGGCCAAAUGUCGUGGUGCGGCCCGUGAAGUAGAGUUCUUCUGUAACCCUAAUACUGCAGAGACGAUGAAUUGGCGAUGCGACGGCGACAUAGUGACGUUUGUGCUUCUUCUCAUCACCAAUCCAUUUCCAAUCAAACGUUCAGAUCAACUGGAAAGACACCAACGGAGACGUUCUUGAAUGAUGUCGGUCUCGAAUUGGGACGAGCGGAGCUUCGAUUCUGGCUAAUUGAUUUGUUUGGAAUUUCUGGGAAGCGAGGAACACGGCGAAGGGGCAUUUUAAUUGGUUUAUAGCUCCUGCUUAUUGACGAACAGAAAAAAAGGUUCUGCAAUUCCAGUCGGUGAUUUUGGAAAUAUGAAGAAGUGCAAGCAAGAAGCUUUAUCGGACAUUUAAUCUGCUAGAAGACUAAACUAGUAAAGAACUCAAGAUUCUUAUCAUCAUGGAGCAUAAACAUCCUCUACCCAUCCAUGGCAAAGUUACACAGUUUUUCCACAACAAUUGACACUCAACGUAAUUCUUCACAACAAAAUCCUCACAUCAGGUUAUGGUAAAUCGCAGAUUGUUAGAUGCAUCUGAUGGUUAUAGACUAUGAGAAUUAUGGAAUACUUAAUGCCGAGUACCAUUCAAUAGUGAGGAGGCGGUAGAGAAGUCGAUUCCAUUCUCCGGGUGGUGCGCUGCUUUGAGGACAACGAUAUUUAUCAUGUCGGUGGCAAAGUAAAUCCCACGUCUGACCUUGAUUUCAUCAAUCUCAAACUCAUUUUCUGCGACUUGGAUCAGAUUUGUAAAAUACUCGAGAGACUUACGAAAUGCAAGGCAAGAGGAUUCACAAUGGAAAUUGAGAAAUUAAAAUUAUCUGAGAUGUCAAGCAAAUAAGGCGUCAUUGAAGUGGCGAAGAUGUGAGCAGUGCUUACCUCUCAUAUACCCAACUUCAGUAGUAAACUUUUGUGAUUCUCUUUAUAACGACCGAUGAUUUGUUUGAAACCAUAUGUUUUUGAAUCCUCAGAGUUUCAUUUUAGAGCAAGAUCUAAAGUGAGGUACAUGUGCAGCAUUUACAAGCUACACGAUGAAGCCAAAUACAAGGUCUUCAUGCGCGGGAUAUCUGAUGAGUCAAAAUGGGAGCACCAAUUUAAAUGUUGUUCUAAAGAUGGUGUAAAGAAAUGCUGUUCUAAAGCUUCCCAUAAACCAUGUUUUGUUCUUGGAUAUGAUCUUGCAACUUUGAAUUUAAUAAUUUAUUAUUUUGUUUGACUUAAUAAUUAUUAAGUUGUCAAAAUUCGUUUAUAAAAAAAUUAAUAAAUAUUAGCUCUUUUGUCUU